GACGAACGCUGGCGGCGUGCCUAAUACAUGCAAGUCGAGCGGACAGACGGUAGCUUGCUCCCUUAUGUUAGCGGCGGACGGGUGAGUAACACGUGGGUAACCUGCCUGUAAGACUGGGAUAACUUCGGGAAACCGGGGCUAAUACCGGAUGGUUGUCUGAACCGCAUGGUUCAGACAGAAAAGUUGGCUUCGGCUACCACUUACAGGUGGACCCGCGGCGGGUUAGCUAGGUGGUGAGGUAACGGCUCAUCAAGGGAACGAUGCGUAGCCGACGUGAGAGGGUGGUCGGCCAGACUGGGAGUGAGACACGGCCCAGAGUGCUACAGGAGGCAGCAGUAGGGCAUCGUCCGCCAUGGGUGAAAGACAGAGGGAGAAGCGCCGAGUGAGGGAUGAAGGAUGUCGGAUCGUGGAGCUCGGUUGUUAGGGAAGAACAAGUGCCGGUCAAAGAGGGCGGCACCGUGACGGUAACUAGCCAGAAAGCCACGGCUAACUACGUG
rnacentral:rRNA from 1 species